rnacentral:misc_RNA from 1 species
GAGCGCGGGUCUUCCCUGUCAGAUCACGAACACAGCUAGAAAGGGCUGGAGAGGUGCGCCUCUCGCUCAUCCCAAGGAGAGGCGAAAUGCCGUCCACAAAGCAACGGAACGCACCACUGCUCAGCGAAAUCCUCUCCCACAAGCUUCAGCAUCCAGUCUACAGCGUGAUGAGAUGAUGUGGCCUAGAGACAGUCACAGCCUCGUUCUGAGAGAUGAAAAAUUCCACAAAAUAGCAAGGCAAAAUAUGAAAUUUCACCCACAGCUUAUGUGCACCAUAUGGGUAUUGCAAUACAUAUUUCUAAAAAAAUUCUCUGCAAGAAAAUCUAUGUUAUUCACCAGCUUCAGAAGGUGACAAAGAAUGUGAAUGUCAAGAGAUGUGUUGCGAAAGCCUACCCACGGCAAUAGGGACAUUAACAGAGAGGAGAAAUAGGCCUAACACCCAUACUUCCUCCUAUACAUCCGCCUGAGACGGCCGAGUCAACCAAGCAUCUUGAAAAGAAACGAAAGUAUUCCACUGAUCGUCAUAUGCUUCGUCCAAGAUGCUUCGUCUCAAAGAAAAUACAAGGGGUGAUAAUAUAUCCAAAAUUUAGCUCCUGGAAAUGCUAGGAUUUUGUGUAUCAUUACAAAUUGGAUUUACUUUUGCUCCACAAGGAGCCUUCUCAUUUGAUCCUUUAUAAUCCCAACAAAUAAUGAUUUGCCAUCGUUCUAAAUAACCCAGGUCCAUUCUGUAGAGAACACUGAACAUUGAUGGUGAGGUGUGUGCUAGGUAAGAGCACCAAUAUCUCUAUCAGAUCAAUAUACGCACAUACAUCUGAUGCGGUCAGUCUGGCCCAAUAAAGCUUCCCUUUCUGUCUCCAACGGCUGGAACACCAAAGAAACUAAGAAAAGGACAGAUUUUAUUAUUCUGUAAAUUCCUUGAACUUUUUGUGACCUAAGGAAUUGGUGUUGGGUUUAUCUUUUAUUGUUUUGUUAUUUUUUGUGCUCAGGUAAAAGCUUUUGUCAUUCAUCAAUGAGAAAUUAAGUUCAAACCUUACGCGUGGGGAUAUAACAACUGUCAAGAUGGAAAUGCAAAGAAUAUAGAAUGAUCAUCAGAUCUACGGGAAAUACUGUAUAUUUAGAAAAAUGUGUUCUUUUUAAAUUUAUGCAAAAAGGAAAAUAAAUGAAAAAAUACAAGUCUGAACUAAUAGUAACUACUGUUUUUAAGAAUAAGCAUUGCAUAUGACUUGAAAAUAGAAUAUCUUAUUCAUUCUUUUUGUCACAUGAAUGAAAACACAAGAAAAUGCAUCGAUCAUUACAACCACCGCUACGAAAUCGAUGUGCUCUCUCUCUCUU